CUUCAAAGCUGACAUUGGAAUACAUCCCACUCAUUA
rnacentral:tRNA from 1 species